rnacentral:RNase_P_RNA from 1 species
GGGUGCUGGAUAACGUCCAGGCGAGGCGACUCGACGGAAAGUGCCACAGAAAAAAACGGCCCAGUGUUUAGCAUAACUAAACGCCAGGCAAUGGUGAAAAGGUGAGGUAAGAGCUCACCAGCUGUUAGGCGACUGACAGGCUGGGUAAACCCCACCCGGAGCAAGACCAAAUAGGGGAACAAUGAGGCUGCCCGUCUCGUUUCCGGGUUAGGUCGCUGGAGGUGUUAGGCAACUAACACCCUAGAUAGAUGAUCAUCCAAGACAAAACUCGGCUUAUAGGUUUGGUCAACUG